UGUUUCGGCUAGGGGGCCAUCCCGGCUUACCAACCCGAUGCAAACUGCGAAUACCGGAGAAUGUUAUCACGGGAGACACACGGCGGGUGCUAACGUCCGUCGUGAAGAGGGAAACAACCCAGACCGCCAGCUAAGGUCCCAAAGUCAUGGUUAAGUGGGAAACGAUGUGGGAAGGCCCAGACAGCCAGGAUGUUGGCUUAGAAGCAGCCAUCAUUUAAAGAAAGCGUAAUAGCUCACUGGUCGAGUCGGCCUGCGCGGAAGAUGUAACGGGGCUAAACCAUGCACCGAAGCUGCGGCAGCGAACGUAUCACUUAAAGCGAUUCAGCGGGUUACGAUUGACGGAGCGAAGCGACGUCAAAGCGUAUACAAAGUCGAGUCGGUUUAAGGAUACGUUCGUUGGGUAGGGGAGCGUUCUGUAAGCCUGCGAAGGUGGCCUGUGAGGGUUGCUGGAGGUAUCAGAAGUGCGAAUGCUGACAUAAGUAACGAUAAAGCGGGUGAAAAGCCCGCUCGCCGGAAGACCAAGGGUUCCUGUCCAACGUUAAUCGGGGCAGGGUGAGUCGACCCCUAAGGCGAGGCCGAAAGGCGUAGUCGAUGGGAAACGGGUUAAUAUUCCCGUACUUGGUGUUACUGCGAAGGGGGGACGGAGAAGGCUAUGUUGGCCGGGCGACGGUUGUCCCGGUUUAAGCGUGUAGGUGUGUGUUCCAGGUAAAUC
rnacentral:rRNA from 1 species